rnacentral:misc_RNA from 1 species
CACGUGGUGAGCUGAGCCAGGCAAACAGUUCACGUGAAUCUCAUCAAUUAUGAACAAUGUGUAUGGAUUUCUUUUUCCAUCAGUUAUUCUGGGUUACAUUCUACUGAUUCAGCGUUACCCGUUCAAAACUUGUGUAUUUAUUGGACAAGAAGCCCGAUAUCUGGGCAGUGGUUGUAGCGUUAUUGCAUGGGUUAUUUAUGGUUAUCUGUUCUGUUGAACACUUCUAUCAUUUCCGUCCAAUGUGGAUGAAUUGGUCUGAGUUAUAGCUCCUUUAGUUUUCUGUGCAUCUCCUUGAUUUUUUUAUGUGUAUGUAUGCACAAAAAUAUAAAUUUUAUCGCUGUUUUCUGGUACAGAAUGCAUUUUUCCUUGUUUAUCUAUCAUGACUGUGUAUAUGAUUAUAAAAUAUUUAUAACAUUAAGCAUAUCAAUUUAACCGUCCAAAUAUGCGUGUAUUUCUAUUUAAGUAAGACAAUUCGCUACCUUCUCGGUAAAAACAAUUACCUCGGUUUUCAAAUAGAGUGAUGAUAAAUCGGUGUCCAAACAUAUUAUUUUAUUUUCUGGCUCUAGGUAUUCCAUUCUAAAGCCGUAAUGUUUUAGUCAUCGAGUAAAAUUAUUGAUAUACGACGGGGCAGGGAAUCAUUGACUACUGUCCAUGAAGAAAUACGAAGAGCAGUAGAUUCUUAGUCGUAAGACACCAGCAUGGGGAAAAAGGGAAUGUUUUGCUUCGAUAGAAAAACACAUUGAUGCAGCUAAACCUAGCUGGUAUCUUUCGACCAUUAAUAAGAGGCAAAGAGUACAGCAGUUUUCUUUGUUACAUGUAUUGUAUUUGUGUAUAAACAUAUCACGAACAGCAAACCUGCUGUCUCUUUAUUUAUUAGAUGACGUAGCUAUUUUUAUUUCAUGUUCUGAAUUCUAAUUUCAGUGGGUAGUUUUACCAAAUGUAUACUUAAUGUGCAAUAUAUAUAUAUUUUCAAUCAGAUUGUUCAUGUUAAGGAGGCUAGAUGGCUGUAGUCAUUUUAUCGUAUUUUUCUACCUCCAGACAAAAUAAGAAUUUGGUAACUGUUCACUAUAUUUGUAUAUGUGUGAUUUGGAAAACAAUAUCAUCAAAUUAACAGAAUAGAAGUGAAUUUAAUCGUGCAGAGUUGUCAAUUGUGAUUGAUGAAGCAUAUUUAAUUUGAAGAAGAUGAAAUUGUUUGCCACCCAGCCUCUUUGUAGUAAAUCUAGGUCCAAAUCAUUACCUGCACCAUACGUAUUUGCAGUGUCGCCGCACUUUUGCUGCGCUGGGAAAUCUGGAAAACUCUUGAUAUGUCAUACAGAACUGAUGAUUUGCACACGAUUCAGUUCAAGUUCGAGCAAGAUGCUGGUCUCUGGAUGUCGUAAUAACUACAAAUGUACUUGUUGUCCCUCUUGUAAAUUCAUACUGCUAAUUAGACUGUGAUAUUAAGCUAGAUUUUGAGGAGCCAUUAUUUAUUAAUUUUCCCUUGUUAUCCUCUAUUUUGUGAUAAAUAAAUGUUAAGU